AAACAUGGCCUUUGGAGAAAAUAAAAGGUCCAACCUGCCCACUGUGUUAUGAAGGGCCGCGGUAAUUUGACUGUGCAAAGGUAGCAUAAUCAUUAGUCUCCUAAUUAGAGGCUGGUAUGAACGGUUAGACGAAACAAAAGCUGUCUCAUUAUAAACUAUAAAUUUUACUUCUUAGUGAGAAGGCUAAGAUUAGGUUGGAGGACGAAAAGACCCUAUAGAUCUUUAUAUAAGUUUGGGUAAUUUAUUUGGAAAAUUUUUAUUUUAAACAAUCUUGUAUUUGGUUGGGGUGACUAUAAAAUAAAUAAACUUUUUUUAUAAAACCAAUGAUUUUUGUAUUUAGGAUCCAUUUUUUAAUGAUUAAUAGAUUAAGUUACCUUAGGGAUAACAGCAUAAUUUUUCUGGAGAGUUCAAAUCGAUAGAAAAGAUUGUGACCUCGAUGUUGGAUUAGAAUCGGAGGUGGGUGUAGCAGCUCAACCCCCAGGUCUGUUCGACCUUUAAAAUUCUACGUGAUCU
rnacentral:rRNA from 1 species